rnacentral:rRNA from 1 species
UACUGUGGAACCUAUUAUGAAGUCAAUGGAAAUAAAACGAGAAAUCAACGUCCGAUAUACCGACUCUGCCCUCCGCGUGCAACAAACGUACGUUCGGAACUACACAACCGAAGACUACAAGUGAGGUCCGACCUCAAGGUGUUCUCACGGAUAUGCCUGAUGCGGCCGUAGUUGUUACGCGAAGUGACCCAGUACCUCCUUUUUCGUUUCGAAGUCGAUGUUGUCUUACGACAGUGACUUUUCCUGUUUGACUAGUGACUUUUCCUGUUUGACUAGCGACUUGACUUUUGUUCCUUACUUCUUGUCCGUCGUCUCUAACUUAGAGAUUUCCUUCUCGACCUUCAUUCCCUCAGUUCGGUACAUGAUAAUCGUGACGUCCCUUCACCAGAAGUCUCAUCGGUCAGACCUUCUUUAUUUGCCUGUGCUCUUAGACUACCGUUGCCACUUCAACGACUACUCGUACCACAAUACCUGUUAGGACUAGUUCUACUAGUUCCAAAUUCGUGACUCGAACUCUUACGAUUUUUCCUUGAAAGACUAUAGGUGAGAUUCGACUAGUUCCCUAAGUACCUAUAACCACGAUGAAGUUGUGCCUUACAACGUUAUUUCUUAUAUCCGCUUAACUCGAUGUUCGGCAAGGUUGUCCGUACGGAAUUCUUCGACGGAGGUCUUCUUCGAAGCUUCUUUCGAAGACUCAACAUGUUGAAAACCGUCUUCGUCGACGACUUGGGUCUCACCUUAGGGAGGUUUUGACAGUACCUCUUUCCAUUGGGAUUCCUUCCAUAGAGAUUCCUCUAACUACAGCUACUACGGCUAGACGAUUUCGAUGCACGACUUACCCCACUUCUGCACAUGUUCCGACACCGCUUAACAAACCACCUUUAGCUUUUUACACCGUCCGACUGCCUGUCUUGGUAGUAUGGGCACUAAACCCUAGUUUUCCUCCUGUCCUGUCGGUGAGCGUCACUUUCACAACUCAUGUACACGUCGGUUCACUCCGCAGACUCUUGAGCGUCCUUGACUGAAACGUCCGCGUUCCGUCCGACCACCUUCUUGUACCUCCAGACAGCAUAGCUGAGGUAAAACCUUUGUCCCCGUCAUCUUCAUCGUUUGGAUACCACUCUUGACUUCUGACCUCCUCAGAGUAAAACAGCUUCUUGCUUUGGCGUCGACUAGCAUACCGUCUUGUAACAGUACUAGACACACAAUACACUAGCAAAUCAUGACGGAUUGAUGCUUGGAAUUUUAUCUAAUUGCGUUCGUCGGGAAAACUGGUGGCAUAAAAUCGACAGGAGAAUCAAAGUCACAAGAGGACCUGAGAGGCCGUCGUUAAGUCGCCGUGGAUGUAAUGAAACUUGACAUUUCGAACGACUACUCCCCUUGAAAACGUAGCAACGUGACAGCACGACGUGACGUUUGCGUUAUAUAAUUUGAUCGG